GUGGGCUAUGGUUGUUUUAAAGCCAUUCAUUACGGACGGCCUACCAUUCUUCACACGAUGGUACAGAAAGAGGUUGUAGCCUCUUCUACUCUUCCCCUGGGGUCUAUAAACCAGACUAAGUAGGUAUUCACAAAGCAUGCAGUGAUCCAUGAUCAAUCAUACAGAAAAGAUUUGUGUGGUAUUUUAUAUUACCAUAAAAUAUUACCAUAAUAUUUUAUAUUACACAUAAAAUUUGUGUUCUGGCCUCCAGAAUGAGCAACUACAUUUAAUAUGGUUUCAGUGACCAUUUGACUUCUGAGGAACAGACAACUAGCUGGAAAGUGAUCCUUAUAAACACUUUUUUUUUUUCCAGCUACGAUUGCACGGACAUAAAAAACUCAAUGACAGAGCAAGUACAGGGUAAACACAACGAUUAGUAGAAAUAAGUCCCACUGGGAUCCCGAGGAUGGAAUGAUCAACUCACUCAGGGCUAAGAGUGGAGAAAUACUUCCAAAGGGAAGGAGGUUUUAGGGAGGCAGGGGGAAGGGGAUUUUGCUUGCUUGUGGAAUGAUGACCAAAGGUUAACUCUUCUAAGAACAACCUGAUUCUUAAGAAGAAAGUCCAUUUGGAAGUUUCCUGGCAAAUGGCCCCUAAUUGCAUAUGUCUGAAUGCUGGUCUUAGGGAUGUGGAGCUUUGAGAAUUUCUUCAUCCUGUUCCUUCAUUUUGUUUCUUCAGCUGGAGGAAAAAAAAAUGAUAAGGAGUUUUGAAAAAUAAUCUUGGAUUCUGCUUAGCUUCCAGCCUGAUACUCAUAACUAUUAAAUAGGUAAGCCAUCCUUGAAAAAAAUUCAAACAUUCUCAUAUUUCAUAUAAAAUCAAUGUACAAUAUCUACUUGUAAUAUCUUAUUAUCCAAAUCAUUUCUAUAGGAUUUUUUAUGUGCAGCUUAAGUAUUUUUUAUUGGUUUUAAAUCUAGCUUUGGAAAUAUAGCAUUCCCAAAAAUCGAAGUAUUAUAGAACAAUACUAACAGGAAACCAACUUUAAAAAUUUUUCCAGUGAGCUAAUUUUAGAGAUAUCCUUUAUUUUAUUAGAUAUAGUAGUAUUUCUAAAUUAAUGUUCUUCAUUUUUCAGUAAGUUGAUCACAGAUCCACAUAAUGUAAUUGUGUAUUUAUAAAAUUCAUACAUAAUAAUCUCAUUUUCUAUAACGAAGUCAGUGAGCAAGUUUUAAGAGAUUUAGUGAAACAAUUUUAUAUUAAUCAGAUUAAUAUGUUCUGGUUGUAUAUUUCAUAAAUAAAAAGAAUGCAUUAUGGUGUUGACUUCCUGGU
rnacentral:lncRNA from 12 species